rnacentral:tRNA from 1 species
GGGCCUGUAACUCAGCUUGGCUAGAGUGGCUGGCUUUUAACCAGCAAGUCGCGGGUUCAAAUCCCGUCGGGCCCG